rnacentral:rRNA from 1 species
CAGCAGCCGCGGUAAUACGUAGGGUGCAAGCGUUAUCCGGAUUUACUGGGCAUAAAGAGUUCCGUCAGCCUCUUAAUAAGUCUUUUGUUUAAUUCUAGGGCUCAACCCUAGGUCGGCAAGAUAAACUAUUUCGAUUGAGUUUGUUCGGGGAAGCUAGAAUUCUCGGUGGAGGGGUGAAAUCCGUAGAUAUCGAGAGGAAUACCAGUCGCGAAGGCGGGCUUCUAGGACAUAACUGACGCUCAGGGACGAAAGCUUGGGUAGCAAAAGGGAUUAGAGACCCCUGUAGUCCAAGCCGUAAACACUCCUUGCUAGCUGCCUUUCUGUAUCUUUAAUAAGUUAUUAAAAUACUUGUUAGAGAUACUGAGGGGCGGCCUAGCUAACGCGUUAAGCAAGGCGCCUGGGGAGUACAUUCGCAAGAUUAAAACUCAAAGGAAUUGACGGGGGAGCGCGCAACCGGUGGAGCAUGUGGUUUAAUUCGAUACCAAGCGAAGAACCUUACCUAAGUCUGACAUGUACCUGCAGCUCUGUGGAAAUUAGUCUUUGUUCGUGAGGGUUACACAGUUGUUGCAUGGCUGUCGUCAGCUCGUGUCGUGAGGCG